rnacentral:rRNA from 1 species
GACGAACGCUGGCGGCGUGCUUAACACAUGCAAGUCGAACGGAAAGGCCCUGCUUUUGUGGGGUGCUCGAGUGGCGAACGGGUGAGUAACACGUGUGUAACCUGCCCUUGACUUUGGGAUAACUUCAGGAAACUGGGGCUACUACCGGAUAGGAGCUCCUGCUGCAUGGUGGGGGUUGGAAAGUUUCGGCGGGUGGGGAUGGACGCGCGGCUUAUGAGCUUGUUGGUGGGGUAGUGGCUUACCCAGGCUUUGACCGAUAGCCGGCCUGAGAGGGGGAACGGCGACAUGGGGCCUGAGGGACGGCCCAGACUGCAACGGGGGGCAGCAGGGGGGAAUAUUGCACAAUGAGCGCAAGCCUGAUGCGGAGGCGUCGGGGGCGUGAAGACGGCCUGCGGGGAGAAAACCGCUGUCGCCUGUGACGAAGCGUGAGUGACGGUAAUGGGUAAAGAAGCACCGGCUAACUACGUG